rnacentral:rRNA from 1 species
GCAGUAGAACGCUGAAGACUUUAGCUUGCUAAAGUUGGAAGAGUUGCGAACGGGUGAGUAACGCGUAGGUAACCUGCCUACUAGCGGGGGAUAACUAUUGGAAACGAUAGCUAAUACCGCAUAACAGCAUUUAACCCAUGUUAGAUGCUUGAAAGGAGCAAUUGCUUCACUAGUAGAUGGACCUGCGUUGUAUUAGCUAGUUGGUGAGGUAACGGCUCACCAAGGCGACGAUACAUAGCCGACCUGAGAGGGUGAUCGGCCACACUGGGACUGAGACACGGCCCAGACUCCUACGGGAGGCAGCAGUAGGGAAUCUUCGGCAAUGGGGGCAACCCUGACCGAGCAACGCCGCGUGAGUGAAGAAGGUUUUCGGAUCGUAAAGCUCUGUUGUAAGAGAAGAACGUGUGUGAGAGUGGAAAGUUCACACAGUGACGGUAACUUACCAGAAAGGGACGGCUAACUACGUGCCAGCAGCCGCGGUAAUACGUAGGUCCCGAGCGUUGUCCGGAUUUAUUGGGCGUAAAGCGAGCGCAGGCGGUUUAAUAAGUCUGAAGUUAAAGGCAGUGGCUUAACCAUUGUUCGCUUUGGAAACUGUUAGACUUGAGUGCAGAAGGGGAGAGUGGAAUUCCAUGUGUAGCGGUGAAAUGCGUAGAUAUAUGGAGGAACAC